rnacentral:lncRNA from 1 species
AGGAACAAAUUGCGUUUCUUCCUGGUUUGUUACUGGUGUUGUUAAGAAAUCAUUUGCUAUGAGUCUGCUGCACAGCGAGCUCCUUGAGGAGAGAUCCUGGGUCUUGUUUGCCUCAGUCUCAAACAGUAUUUGCUGAAAGAAUCAGUUUUCCAGAACUUUAGGUACAUGUGGCAGUUGGUCCUCAGCUAGUAACUUUGAUCCUUCAAACCUCCAAGGAAACCAGGGCCAAGUGGAUGACGGCAUCAGCAUUUCCCAGCUUCAAAUCUCAGGUGGGAAAGCUGUACAUUUGAGAACUGAAGUGAUUCGGUGGCUGUGCACGUAAUGACUGGUGGUGUAGGGCAUAGAAGCCAGGCCUCUUCAACCCUGCGCUCUUCAGCCAUCCCGAGAUUAGGGUGGCUCUGCUCUCGCUCGCAUCAGUUGUUUUCCAUGGAACAGAAGUUGACCCAUUGCUAGCAGAGUAACGGAAAUGAGAUACAUUUUGGCGAGAGUUGGCAAGGCUCAGGAUUUUAUACAGGUGCUUCCUGGAUUUAAAGCCCCGCCAGCCAUGAAACUGCCUCCAAUUUCCUACAAAAUGUUUUCUGAGAGUUCAGUCUUAGGCUCCACCUUGCCUUUUUGAAUAAUCUUGACUGAAAGGAAACAGCUUAGAUUCUGGGGCACCCUUAGGAGCUACAGUGCCAGCCUGCCCCUGGAUGCAGCCUGGGCUUCUUCAGCCAGACAUGAGUGUAGCUUUGCAUCAGAUGCUGCUGCUGCUGGUCCAGGAGCCACUCUGAGAGCCACCAACAUGGAGUCAUCACUGGCUGGAGUCUACCUGCUACAAGGAAGAAUCAGUUAACCAUUUUUUUUUUAAGGUUUGUGGCAUGUGGGAUGCUGCCUCAGCGUGGUUUGAUGAGCAGUGCCAUGUCUGUGCCCAGGAUUCGAACCAGCGAAACACUGGGCCACCUGCAGCGGAGUGCCCGAACUUAACCACUCGGCCACGGGGCCAGCCCCUUAAGUUGUAUCCAGCGCCUACCACGUGCUACUGUCAGCCCUCUGGUUAUCAGGGAGGAAUGGGAUCAGGAACCUGCCUUCCAAAUGUUUGAACCCUUGGAGAGAAGAGAAGAUGAGCCAAAAUUACUAAGGCAAUGGAAAACAGUAAGGGCCACAGAAAAGCCACACAAAAGGCUACUGCGGAACACUUCUAAUUUUGGCUUCCGGGAUCCUGCUCCACGUUCUUUCUGACUAGCUUGCUAACGUGCUAAAGACAGGGAAGAUCUGUGACGGGGGCGUCACAUGUCCUGUGUUUAUCUGGCUUCGCUGGUAACGGGCCGUGUGACUGGACAAGUCAUUUGCCAAGGAUUAGAGGAGAUGAGCUAAGGGCUCCUUGCCCUGCCACCCUCUAUGAUUCUGAAGGUCACCCCUCCUGAUACGUAUAAUCAUUGUGUGCAUAUUUUGAAAAGUCCUGGUUAUUUCAAAGCUGGCCUUCCACUUCUCAUCUUCUAAUAUGUAUAAUUUUUCACAUUUCAACAUUUCUGAAAUGGAUUGUGGCUUAAAGUUGAUGGCAUCUUAGAGUCGAUGACAUCCAUAGCUGACCCACCCGGCACUCGCAUGCCAGGAACAUCAGUGGGCUCCGGUUCCUUGGCUGUUUCUCUGAGAGCUGAUCUUCUGGAGAAGUGAACAGAUUUAUGGAAAGCAGCGUUGAGGCAUCAUGUGCUGGCGGGAGGAUUUCGACAAAGGCCAGAACCUUGAAAGACGACAGAUGACGAGGAGGCCCCUGCCCCUGGGUUCCGGCGGAUGCUCUUGUUGAGUUCAGGGCGUGAGGGGCACUUCCUAGGACACCCCCGUGGGGCUGCCCAGGCAGCUGGCAGGAAAGUAGCUGUGGGCUUUCCAGAGAGAAGCCCAGGACUGCAUCCACAUAAAUAAAAGGUCAAUGCGGAUUCUGCAUCCAAGAUGGGAG